CUCUCUCUCUCUCUCUCUCUCUCUCUCUCUUUCUUUCUUUCUCUCUUUUGUUUUUCAAGGCAGGGUUUCUCUGUGUAGCUCUGGCUGUCCUGGAACUCACUCUGUAAACCGGGCUGGCCUAUGAACUCAUAUACAUCCACCUACCUCUGCCUCCUGAGUGUCCUGAUAAUAUUUUCUAAUUGGAAAUCUGUCCAGGAACCUUCUCCUGACACCAGCCUGUGUCGCACCUUCAGACCCUGCCAGACACAGAGCAGGGAACUGUGGGAAAGGGAACAAGGCAGAGGUCGGCAUACUCGGAGGGGAGGCAGAUGGUGAGGGGAGACAAAGGACACAGAGGGCCUGGUGCCAGCAGAAAAGAGAUGAAGCCCCCCUGUAGGACCCACCCGGUUCUCUCCCAGUCCAUCAUCACUGAACCAUGGGAGCAGAACCUGUAUGCCAGUCAGGUGCUAGGGAGUAAGGGAUUCAGGACAAGUAGCCGGACAGUGAGGAGAAGACAGGGAUGCAGCGGUCUGAAAAGGGAGGUAAAAGUCACAAACAUCAUGUGUCACCAAGCUCAGCCUGGCCUUGGUGAACAUUUCCCAACAGCAGGUGUGCCCUGCUGCCGCUGGGAGCUCCCGAGGCUUCCAGGAGUGACUGUGGAGUCACAGUCGAGAUGAAGAUCUCUCACCAUCUCUCACCUAGUGACCCAGGAAAAUUCACAUCUUCAAAAAUUCAAGAGACCCUGGAUGUUUGGACGCUGACAAAAGGAAAAAUAACUAUCCAAUAAGGAUCAUCAAGGAAAAAAAUGACUUAUGAGGACAGGAAGAAGAUGGGGCCCCCCAGCCACAACUCCACCUGGGUGAGGUAACAUCAUGAUGCUGAGAGCACUGCUAUAAGACCCGUAUUUGGGUACCAGUUGCUGACAUGGUACACUGCGGCGAACUCCCUGACCAGCAGGAAAGAACAGCCACCAGACGAGGAUUCUUCCCAAAUCAAGCUUUAUUGGAGCCUCUUGGUUGAAGGGAGAGCAGGAGGCGAGGGGCCCCAAGCUCUGAGCUGCAACUGCCUAUAUAAGGACUAGGGGUACAUGCAGGCUUCCUAUUGGUCAAAAUGUCUCAGCAGCCAUUCCAAGCUCCCUGAUAGGUCCAGCACACUGAGGACACUGAGCAUGCCCGAGAUGGUGGUACCGGCUAUGACCUUAUAUGGAAUUGUUUAUACCAAGCCUGCAGGGGCCCGGCGCCAUCUUGUAAUGGCGGCUGCACGUACUGGCUCCCUGCAGUACACCUUCUCAUGACAUUCUGGCCAGAACUCCAAAUAAAUACUUUGGAAAAAACCCUAUCAACUACUCAGAAAUCGUUUGUAACUAUGCUAGACAGUAAUCUUGAAACUUAACGACCACUUUACUUUUGCAGGAUCCCAUAAAGAGAACAUUGCCCCCAUGACGGCGGGAGGCAAUUCUAGAGGACAACGUCCCCUCUCACAAAAAAGUUUGUCCUCAGGGUUGGGAACACCAUCUAGGAGUUGUUGAUUAUUACUUGUAAAAGGUGGAGGGUUGGGAUGGAAACUAUGUAGGCUCAGAGAUAAAAAAAGGGGGGGAUAAUAAUAGUGAGUAAUAGAGCGAAUACUUGUAAGCUAUUAUUUAUGAAUAAUUUGCAUUGGUAUAGUUUUUAUAUAUUAAUACAACUUCUAAUUAUAUUUUUUAUUUCUGUUUACAAUAUUUGUACACCUAUGCAAAGUUAUUUUGUCAGCUUGUAUAUAUGCAUGUUCCUACCUCUGUUUAGGACAUCUGUAUAUUGAUACAACUUUUAGGAUAUAUUUUCAUAUUGCAUUAUAUAUUACUCCUACCUCUGAUCAAGAUACUUAUACAUUGUUUACAUUUUGAGGUCAUUGUCCUCAUUGGCUGCAUAUUUGUUUACAGAUUAUUUAAUAUUCUGACAUGAAGUCUUAGUCUUCAAGUUGUAUAAGUAUUAAAUAUUGUAGUCAAUAGUUGUUCAUGUUUAUUAUACAUAUGGUCAGAUUAUAGAUUCUUUAGAUACAUAGAGAUUGUAUUCUGCCUAGAUAGGUAAUCUUCCACCACUUCAAGAAUCUGUAGAACAUAGCAUUUAAAUAAUUUAAGGUUCUGUUGACAUGAGACAUGAUUGCUCCUGACAGCACCAAUCUAUUUCUGAGAGAAUGUUGAGCAAUGAGGACACUCCACUCAGAGUUUGUUUUCUUCUUGGCACAAUUGGCUUUUGGGCAAAGAAAUGCCCAUGCCUCAACCAUUGACAAAGUACAUGGUAUCCGGACUGGAUAAGAAGGACACAAGAAAAAGGACUGCCAAACCUUGCCAAGACAGGGUAAGACGGUUCUGAAAAAUUCCCUGCCUCUGAAAAUAGUCUGUCAGUUAUCCUAGGCCUUGGCCAACGUUGGUUGCUUCAACGUUGCAAAUGAGACUUUGGGUGAUUGCCCAGGUAGAAAAUUGUCUCCAUCAUAUACUGCAAGCUACUUGAAUGCACUUCCUGCCUACUCAAUAUUAUCUCCCUUCUCAGGCCUUUGAUGGGGUUGAAGAUUAGAUAAUCUCAUUUACCUUCCUCUUAUGAUUUAGCCAACCUUAUUUCUGAUGCAAGACUUAGACUCUUUGGAAUAGAAUGCUUAUUAAAACAUUUGUCAUGUGUUCCUUGCUUAAUAUUGUUUACGUUGCUUGUAAUUUUAUACUUGAUAUCUUUUCCUAUUGUAUGUAAUUGUAUUGGGUUUGGAUUGUUCUUGUUUAGACAAAAGGGGGAGGUGAUGGAGAAACCUUGUUAAUCACUUAUCUUUAAGAGGUGGGACCAAUUUAGGGUGUAGCUUUCUGGGAUCCAGAGAAAAACAGGCCUUGCACUAGGGUUAGCUAGCCUGAUUUUUUUCCCGAAUCAAGUUAGCUUCUGCAUCCAUGUUUACCCCUUCCUGCUCUAUUUCUUUUUCUUCUAUAUUUUCUUUUCUCUUAAGACAAUGUUUUAUCAUGUAGCCCAGGCUGACCUCCAAUUUAUAUCCAUCCUCCUGCCUCAGCCUCCUGAGUCCUGGGAUGUGCAGAAGCAAAGUCACCAUUCCUGGCUCUCCAGUUCAUUUCUUUCCUCUGGGAAAGCCUUACCCUACCAGGGUCUCAUGAGGUGGCUCUUUGUGGUCAAACUCAUACAGCUACUUGACAAAAAAGUAAAGAAUAUUUUCCCACAAGCUUUGCUGGAAAAAAAAAAUCCUCAGCUUUUCCCCCUUUUGGCAUUGAACCUUGGCUGACUUCCCAUGGCAAUCCCUGGUCAGGUGAGUAGGAGGUUAUUAUGGUUGUCAUGGAUGGCCUUCCUACACACCCUGGAAGGAAAGGACCAGGGAACUUUGAUCAACAGCCUCCUCAGAACAAUUUGGAAGAGAAAGGAAUUUCUCCCAAGGAAGAAAGUGUAGUCCCUAAGACAUCAUGGCCACAGCAAUUUUCGGGUGACAAUUGCUCGCCCACAGAGUUGUCACGAAAGACAGAAGACUUGCAGGUGAGAGACCUGGAG